rnacentral:rRNA from 1 species
CCUACGGGAGGCAGCAGUAGGGAAUCUUCCACAAUGGGCGCAAGCCUGAUGGAGCAACACCGCGUGAGUGAAGAAGGGUUUCGGCUCGUAAAGCUCUGUUGUUGGAGAAGAACGUGCGUGAGAGUAACUGUUCACGCAGUGACGGUAUCCAACCAGAAAGUCACGGCUAACUACGUGCCAGCAGCCGCGGUAAUACGUAGGUGGCAAGCGUUAUCCGGAUUUAUUGGGCGUAAAGCUAGCGCAGGCGGUUGCUUAGGUCUGAUGUGAAAGCCUUCGGCUUAACCGAAGAAGUGCAUCGGAAACCGGGCAACUUGAGGGCAGAAGAGGACAGUGGAACUCCAUGUGUAGCGGUGGAAUGCGUAGAUAUAUGGAAGAACACCAGUGGCGAAGGCGGCUGUCUGGUCUGCAACUGACGCUGAGGCUCGAAAGCAUGGGUAGCGAACAGGAUUAGAUACCCCAGUAGUC